rnacentral:rRNA from 1 species
GACGAACGCUGGCGGCGUGCUUAACACAUGCAAGUCGAACGGAAAGGCCCUGCUUUUGUGGGGUGCUCGAGUGGCGAACGGGUGAGUAACACGUGAGUAACCUGCCCUUGACUUUGGGAUAACUUCAGGAAACUGGGGCUAACACCGGAUAGGAGCUCCUGCUGCAUGGUGGGGGUUGGAAAGUUUCGGCGGUUGGGGAUGGACUCGCGGCUUAUCAGCUUGUUGGUGGGGUAGUGGCUUACCAAGGCUUUGACGGGUAGCCGGCCUGAGAGGGGGACCGGCCACAUUGGGACUGAGAUACGGCCCAGAGUCCUACGGGAGGCAGCAGUGGGGAAUAUUGCACAAUGGGCGGAAGCCUGAUGCAGCAACGCCGCGUGCGGGAUGACGGCCUUCGGGUUGUAAACCGCUUUCGCCUGUGACGAAGCGUGAGUGACGGUAAUGGGUAAAGAAGCACCGGCUAACUACGUG